rnacentral:rRNA from 1 species
UGGGGAAUUUUGGACNAUGGGCGCAAGCCUGAUCCAGCCAUGCCGCGUGUCUGAAGAAGGCCUUCGGGUUGUAAAGGACUUUUGUCAGGGAAGAAAAGGCUGUUGCUAAUAUCGACAGCUGAUGACGGUACCUGAAGAAUAAGCACCGGCUAACUACGUGCCAGCAGCCGCGGUAAUACGUAGGGUGCGAGCGUUAAUCGGAACUACUGGGCGUAAAGCGAGCGCAGACGGUUACUUAAGCAGGAUGUGAAAUCCCCGGGCUCAACCUGGGAACUGCGUUCUGAGCUGGGUGACUAGAGUGUGUCAGAGGGAGGUAGAAUUCCACGUGUAGCAGUGAAAUGCGUAGAGAUGUGGAGGAAUACCGAUGGCGAAGGCAGCCUCCUGGGAUAACACUGACGUUCAUGCUCGAAAGCGUGGGUAGCAAACAGGAUUAGAUACCCUGGUAGUCCACGCCCUAAACGAUGUCAAUUAGCUGUUGGGCAACUUGAUUGCUUAGUAGCGUAGCUAACGCGUGAAAUUGACCGCCUGGGGAGUACGGUCGCAAGAUUA